rnacentral:rRNA from 1 species
UACGUAGGGUGCGAGCGUUGUCCGGAAUUAUUGGGCGUAAAGAGCUCGUAGGCGGCUUGUCGCGUCGAAUGUGAAAACCCACGGCUCAACUGUGGGCUUGCAUUCGAUACGGGCAGGCUAGAGUUCGGUAGGGGAGACUGGAAUUCCUGGGUGUAGCGGUGAAAUGCGCAGAUAUCAGGAGGAACACCGGUGGCGAAGGCGGGUCUCUGGGCCGAUGACUGACGCUGAGGAGCGAAAGCGUGGGGAGCGAACAGG